rnacentral:lncRNA from 1 species
GCAGACAGCUCAUAGGGCAACCGGCGAUUGCCACCAACCUUGAGGACUUGGGUUCGAUUCCCUGGGAACCACGUGGAGCUGGGAGUGCGGACAUACAUGUCAAGUGAGUGUUCCACUACCCAGCAAAAUCUCCAGCCCCCGCUACCUGGAAAUUAUCAAUGACUGCACGUGCCCAGCUCUUCUGGACCCUCUGAUGUUCUGUCACAUGGGAGCAAAUGGAGAGCUGGGACAUCCUUUGACCUCAGCCCUCAAAGGUUAGGAAGCGGGCCCCUCCUCCCUCCAAGAAUUCCUUUUCUCCAAGGGUGAUUAACUACCUCAGCCAUCCUUCCAGGAGGGCCAAAAAAGCUGUUUUGAAUCUGUACCGGCUCAGAAUAAUCAGUUCCUGGUAUUUCCGGCUUUGUGUGAAGCAGGAUUUCCUGUUUCAAGGCGGGCUGGCUCCCCUGUCCUGAUAUUAGGGAGUCUAUGUAAUAGAUUACUAAUCCAUACUGUUUUUGUUUUUCUAUUCAGGAUAAUUAACUUCUUGCUCAAUCCCUCAGCAUUUGACCAAAAUACCAAGAUAAAAAUGUAGGCCCGUGUUAGUACAAAAGGUCCUGCAUUCAACUGUCCUCCUUAUAUUGCCCAAGAAGUCUUGUGGAAUUCCAAGAAGAAUUCAAGGGGCCAGACCUGGAAUAUGCAUCAAUGAGAAUAAGACACUGACGAAGCUAACGACACUAACGGGGAAUGAGGAUAAUCGACUCCUGUCCUUUGUUUUACUCUUUAACCUAGUAAUAAAUCCCUUUAAAGGCCCGUGGUAUUCGGAGCA